AUACUUACCUGGACGGGUUCAAUGGAUGAUCAAGAAGGUCCUUGGCCUAGGAAAGUGACCUCCAUUGCACUAUGGAGAAAGUGUUUUCCUAAGGUCUGCCCAAGCAGCAGAGCCUACAUCAUAAUUUGUGGUAGUGGGGGCUUGCUUUUGCACACCCCGA
rfam:Glycine soja cultivar W05 scaffold2631_11, whole genome shotgun sequence.